rnacentral:rRNA from 2 species
CCUGGUAAUUCAAUAGCGAAAGGGUCACACCCGUUCCCAUUCCGAAUACGGUCGUUAAGCCUUUCAGCGCCGAUGGUACUAGUCGGGCAACCUUCUGGGAGAGUAGGGCAUUACCAGGG